GAUCCAAAUGAAUCAAAAUGGAACUGUCCGUGCAAUAAAUACAAUGAUAACUGCGAUACGGCACUGCUUACAUGCCAAUACUGUAAACAUCUACAACACGCUGUCUGUUAUGGUAUUCCUGAAGAGAAUGCCGCGGACGUCGCAGGCCAUUGUUGCAUACAGUGCUAUGAUAAUGAUAAGACAAGAACUACCACCGACAUUAGCCUAACCACAAUGGCCAUUAAGAAGAGAUCUUCUGUAUGUCUGUUCCGUCGUGCGCUUGCGGCGUCUCUGCAAAUGUCAACUGUAGGGUCAGAGGACUUUGUUCGUUGUCUCGAUUUAUCCGAGCAAAGUGCUAUUAAUCUCCUGCGAACAUUUUUCUCAUACGGAAUUAUUAAGAAGGAGCCGCAAACCAUGCUCCGGCACAAGAUAAUUAAAUCUAGAUUAAAUAGUGUGAUUUCCGAUUACUUUCAAAGAAGCAAAUUCGAUUCAAUUAUUUCACAAUCUAAGGCAGUACAGAACGAUCCGUUUUCGCAAGUUUUGAGUCCUUCAGAACAAAUUAACUUACAAAGCGCCUCUAACAUUUGUGAAUUGGUUGAAAUGCCAUCUGGAAAUAACCAGAAUGCAUCCAUGGCGGAGUAUGAAGGGGCAAUUUCUAAUAUAGAUAUUAUAAAUAUGCCGCCAAUAAAAAAGGUCGCUAAACGGAAAAUGCCUUCCCGUGCAAGCCAGGAGAAGGCAAAGAGAGGACGGAAGUAAUGCAUUUCUAAUUCGUAAAAUUUAACUAGACUAAUAAUUACAUAUUAAUAAAAUUAUAAACUUAAUUUUUACGCGUACGCGGUAAAAGAAUUAUUAAGAAAACAUUUUUUUUCUAGAACAUACAUAUGUCAUUUUAUGUUAAUACAACUCGUUUAGUUUUUUGAAGUUUCCUAAGCCGAUGGCCG